CAUCUUGAAUAACACAUAACCGUAAAAUGAAAUAAUUUGAAAUACCAAACUAUAAUUUACUAUAGUUACUGCUGGAAUCAAUUAAAUUGAGAUGCUUUGGGAAGCUUUAUUUUCGAACCUUUUAAAGACUAUGAAUUCGAAAUAAUUGAAGAAGAUGGUAAAAACGAAGAUUUUAUAAAUAGUGACGAUGUUGCAGGAGUUUGCAAGGUUACUGACGCAGAAAUUAAUAUGGACCGAAAAAGAAAAGCUGUUGAAUUUUGGAAAAAUGAGCAUGGUAGAAAAAGCAUAAAUUGAGUACAGUUCAAAAAAACUUUAGAUUUUUUCAUCUGAACGACAAUUAAGAAUAUGGGCGCAGCAACUAGAACAUCUAAUAAGGCAGGAGUUAAAGGAUCAAAUCAGGGGCUACAUUUCGACUCAGAAUUGAAUAUCGUUUAUCCGCCCAAGGCUCAGGGAGAAGAAGGACUUUGUUAUAUUUGGCUGAAAAACAAGGGAUUGAAAAUUUGGUAGAAAAGCGCAAAAAUGGUAUAAAAUUGAACGGUUAGAUAUUAGCAAAAUAGUUCAAUAUUCAAGCAAAAAGAUGAAUUUUCCUGCAAGCAGAUUUAUUCCAGUGGAAGUA